rnacentral:lncRNA from 1 species
AUGAAACUCGGGGCUAUAUCCAGAGCCCCACACAUACUCUUCUGUUGUCAGGGCACCUUCCCACCUCCAGCUUGUCCCCAGUAGCAAGUCACCCUCCACCUGGGUUGCAGGUAGAGGGAGGUAGAGGGCACACCAGGUCCAAUGCCUCCAGAGGGGUGUUCCUGGCUACAGUGGAAGUCUUACUCUAGCAACGUAGGAUGCAUGUACCUCGGCUUCUAGGCCAGGAAUAACGUCCCAGGAUAUACCUGUCAGCUGUCUGGGCUGCUCUGCCCAGUCCCUGAACUCUCAAGACUUCCAACUCCUGGCUUUUAGUCCAUGAGUCUCAGUCCUGCUUUCCUUGGUCCCAAGGACUUCCCUGCUAUGAACAGAGACAAGGGUCCAUUUAGAGCCGCAGUCUCUGGGCUAAAGAGUACCAGAGGCAGAGCCCUGGCAGUGGCUCAGGCGGUGGGGGGCUUUGGAUUCUGGUUUAGACCCCAGCUGCCUACACGACGACACUGGGGUGCUGCCUGCAGGGGCUUUGCUUCUGAGAGCAGGCUGAGCCUGAAGAGCACUUGGGCUGGGACCAAGCCUGCAGGCUUGUUCCCCUUCAAGACACCCCGGGCAAGUAAUUUUUUUUUUUUUUACCUGUUUUCCUCUUCUGAAAAGUGGCCAUAAGAACUGCCCAGGUGACUUAACCAGAGUGUUGUUACUACACUCAAAUGAAUGAGGAAGUGGGAUGGGGUUUCUGGAGCUAAAAUUAAAAAUAAAAAAGUCACUAUAAGUGGAAGAGUGAAUGAGCAGCCGCAGCCAGGGACAGCAAAGGGGGCGUCUGUGUUUGUUUUAGGUUCCAAGUGCAGUCCUGAAGGCUGGAGUCUGCCAGGAGCCCUGAGAAUGGUCUCAGACCCCAGGUAGCUCACCUACUGAUGUGGCCACCCUGCAGAGGUGGAAGCCACAGUUUCUGCACUCACUUGCUCUACUAACAUCAGUGGCCUGCCCUUUUCUUUUCUUUUCUUUUCUUUUCUUUUCUUUUCUUUUCUUUUCUUUUCUUUUCUUUUUUCUUCUAUCUUGCCCUCUGGGGACUAGCUUUAGGGACUGCUGGGGUUUCCUUUUUUUUUCUUCCAUAACUGCAUAGCC